GUGGGGAAUCUUGCGCAAUGGGCGAAAGCCUGACGCAGCCAUGCCGCGUGGAUGAUGAAGGUCUUAGGAUUGUAAAAUCCUUUCACCGGUGAAGAUAAUGACUGUAGCCGGAGAAGAAGCCCCGGCUAACUUCGUGCCAGCAGCCGCGGUAAUACGAAGGGGGCUAGCGUUGCUCGGAAUUACUGGGCGUAAAGGGAGCGUAGGCGGACAUUUAAGUCAGGGGUGAAAUCCCGAGGCUCAACCUCGGAACUGCCUUUAAGACUAGGUGUCUUGAGUGUGAGAGAGGUGAGUGGAACUCCGAGUGUAGAGGUGAAAUUCGUAGAUAUUCGGAAGAACACCAGUGGCGAAGGCGACUCACUGGCUCAUUACUGACGCUGAGGCUCGAAAGCGUGGGGAGCAAACAGGAUUAGAUACCCCGGUAGUCC
rnacentral:rRNA from 1 species